AUACGGAGGGUGCAAGCGUUAUCCGGAUUUAUUGGGUUUAAAGGGUCCGUAGGCGGAUCUGUAAGUCAGUGGUGAAAUCUCAUAGCUUAACUAUGAAACUGCCAUUGAUACUGCAGGUCUUGAGUAAGGUAGAAGUAGCUGGAAUAAGUAGUGUAGCGGUGAAAUGCAUAGAUAUUACUUAGAACACCAAUUGCGAAGGCAGGUUACUAUGUCUUAACUGACGCUGAUGGACGAAAGCGUGGGGAGCGAACAGGAUUAGAAACCCUAGUAGUCC
rnacentral:rRNA from 1 species